UACAGAGGUGCCAAGCGUUAGGCGGAAUCACUGGGCGUAAAGGGCGCGCAGGCGGUUCUGUUUGUCGAGUGUGAAAGCCCCGGGCUCAACCUGGGAACUGCGCUCGAAACGGCGGAACUAGAGUUCGGGAGAGGAGAGUGGAAUUCCCAGUGUAGAGGUGAAAUUCGUAGAUAUUGGGAAGAACACCGGUGGCGAAGGCGGCUCUCUGGACCGAUACUGACGCUGAGGCGCGAAAACGUGGGGAGCAAACAGG
rnacentral:rRNA from 1 species